rnacentral:rRNA from 1 species
ACAUGCAAGUCGAACGAACUUAACCAUUAGUUUACUAUUGGAGCGGUUAGUGGCGGACUGGUGAGUAACACGUAAGCAACCUGCCUAUCAGAGGGGAACAACAGUUAGAAAUGACUGCUAAUACCGCAUAUGCCUUAGAAUCACAUGGUUCAAAAGGGAAAGGAGCAAUCCGCUGAUAGAUGGGCUUGCGUCUGAUUAGCUAGUUGGUGGGGUAACGGCCUACCAAGGCGACGAUCAGUAGCCGAACUGAGAGGUUGAACGGCCACAUUGGGACUGAGAUACGGCCCAGACUCCUACGGGAGGCAGCAGUCGGGAAUAUUGCGCAAUGGAGGAAACUCUGACGCAGUGACGCCGCGUGCAGGAAGAAGGUUUUCGGAUUGUAAACUGCUUUAGACAGGGAAGAACAAAGACAGUACCUGUAGAAUAAGCUCCGGCUAACUACGUGCCAGCAGCCGCGGUAAUACGUAGGGAGCGAGCGUUAUCCGGAUUUAUUGGGUGUAAAGGGUGCGUAGACGGGAAGUCAAGUUAGUUGUGAAAUCCCUCGGCUUAACUGAGGAACUGCAACUAAAACUGAUUUUCUUGAGUACUGGAGAGGAAAGUGGAAUUCCUAGUGUAGCGGUGAAAUGCGUAGAUAUUAGGAGGAACACCGGUGGCGAAGGCGACUUUCUGGACAGAAGCUGACGUUGAGGCACGAAAGUGUGGGGAGCAAACAGGAUUAGAUACCCUGGUAGUCCACACCGUAAACGAUGGAUACUAGGUGUAGGGAAUAUUAAAAUUCUCUGUGCCGCCGCUAACGCAAUAAGUAUCCCACCUGGGG